ACCAACCACCUCUUCCUCCUCUUGUCACCCUCACCGAUCGUCCGUUGUGUUCUGGAGGGUAUAAAACGUCUUGAGCCUCAGGCAAGCCAUCACAGCCUCAUCCCCUUCAGAACACUACUUGCUCCUCGGAAAUCUUGGUUACGUAUCCAGUGCAAAGAUGAAGAUCCUUAUUUUCGCUAUCGCCUUCCUGGCCAUAUCUAGCGACUGCCUGAGCAGUGCUAAUGAUGACCAAUUAAUUGCCUGCCCUGCACAAGUUUCUCGUGGAUGCCCAUACCCACAAGGGCAGUUUCCAGUGUAUUUUGCUCAUCCGGAACACUGCUCCAUGUUCUGUGAAUGCGGGGCUGAAGGCAUCGCUUGGGAAGUCACUUGCAAUCACGACCUGUACUGGAACGAGAAAAUAACUGCCUGCGACUGGCCAGCCAAUGUUGACUGCGGAAGCCGGUCACAACCCUAGAGCAAUCUGGCUACACAGACCAGGAUGAUUAGGAACAUUUACGUGUAUCCGAUUUGCUGUUAAUGAUGCUCCACUUCCCCUCUAAAAAAGGAUUACAUUCUUUUCAAUAAAAGAAUGUACAUGAUGAAA